rnacentral:rRNA from 1 species
GACGAACGCUGGCGGCGCGCCUAACACAUGCAAGUCGAACGAGCGAGAGAGAGCUUGCUUUCUCGAGCGAGUGGCGAACGGGUGAGUAACGCGUGAGGAACCUGCCUCAAAGAGGGGGACAACAGUUGGAAACGACUGCUAAUACCGCAUAAGCCCACGACCCGGCAUCGGGUCGAGGGAAAAGGAGCAAUCCGCGUUGAGAUGGCCUCGCGUCCGAUUAGCUAGUUGGUGAGGUAACGGCCCACCAAGGCGACGAUCGGUAGCCGGACUGAGAGGUUGAACGGCCACAUUGGGACUGAGACACGGCCCAGACUCCUACGGGAGGCAGCAGUGGGGAAUAUUGCACAAUGGGGGAAACCCUGAUGCAGCGACGCCGCGUGGAGGAAGAAGGUCGUCGGAUUGUAAACUCCUGUUGUUGAGGAAGAUAAUGACGGUACUCAACAAGGAAGAGACGGCUAACUACGUG